AUUAAUCGCGACAGAUUUGGCUCCGCCCGCGGACUCGGCGGCUACGACCUUUAUUUGUCGGAAAAGGCGGGCUCUUACGGCGCAAGACUCCUACCCUUCCUCUUCGGCGGCGCUGCGCUGGGCGCCGUGACCAAUCACAGGCCACGUCGUGCCGCCGCAGCCAAUCGGAAAAGCCGGGCAUUAAGACGAGCCUUUGACGGCCCCUCCCUCUGGGCUUGAGGGCGCUUCGUGGGUUUGGUGUUUGUGGCCUCGUUUUCGUCCUGUGUCAGCUCCGGUGGUUACAUCCGAUACCAUCGGGCUCUUGUGAGGCCGAGCGUGAAAAUGCGGAGCGAAGAGGCAAGAGCGAAACCGAGGCGAAUCCAGGGGCACGCGGAUAGGGCCCGGGCGCGAACGCAGAAGCGCCCGGAGGAGGAGGGGGGAGAAGCGCAGCGCCCUGGAGAUGCGGAGACGGAAUCGGGCCCCCACGUCAGCGACCCCCGAGAGGCGGAGCGUCUCCCUGCGAUCCAUUAGGUAGUGGCUUGAUGUGGAGGUAGUGGAGGAGCUGCGGGUGUGCCUGGCCCGAGAUCGGGGACCCGGAGGAGCUCGAAUGACAGUGCGGUGGGGACACGUCGGCUUCACUUCAACGACCCCUUCUCCGGAGACCCUUCGCCCCUCUUGGGGGGUGACGGAAGCCGGCAGGCGAGAGUGAUUGCCAAUUUCCAGGCCAGGUUGCUGCUUUCCCCCUUUUUCUUUGCUUAGUCCAGGUUCCAGCCAAAAAGUCUCUGACACGCAAAUAGAUAAUGUGUGUUUCUUCUGUAACAUCGUAUAUGUUCGUGAAAAAUACCGCCUGUUCAGAAAAAUCGUGCAUCUGAAAGAAGCCAAACUUACGGGGAAAAAAGAAGGAAUUAACAUUCUUGGAGAUGUUGGAAAAACAUUCCUGGGCCUUGCAAGAUUAUUACUCCAUAUAUACAGGGGAGGUAGCAUAUCGCGGAGAGUGGAGAGAUGUCAGUUUCUUGAUUCUCAUUUGGCAAGUCUCAGUUCCUUGAUGGCUCUUGGCUAAAGACUUCAGUUCUUCACCGUGUGAACAUAGGCUGCCUGAGUAUCCCCACAACAUAUCAGCUGGCUUCCACCAGAGGCAGUGAUCUAAGAGAAAUGCCAAGACAACAUGUAGGUGGAGGUGGUUGGAGAAGCUGGAGGUAGACUGUAUAUAGAAGUACCUGUGCUAUUUUGCUUGCGGUGCACACUGACUUGGUGGAAAUUCGUGUUUCAAGUUUUUCAAGGAAUGUAGUCCACAAAUACUUAAAGGCACUUAUUCAAAUAUUUGACAUAGGAUGGAAUGAAGGUACAAAUAUGCUACAGCAGCUUUAAAGCAAUUUGUCCUUUUCCUCAAAAGCUAGAUAUUUAUCCACUAUGGAGUGAAAUUGAAGGGUGUUUUUCUUAACAUUUUGUCAGAUUCAUCUGAUAAAUGUGAACGUUUAUAUAGAAGACCUAAAAGUUGAUGAAAAACUUUUUGUUUAUUUGCCUUAAUGAAAAGAUGUACAAAAUAAGUGUAUUCAGAAACAAAACUAAAACCUUGAUGAGAUGGAUGCUGUUACAGGAGUAAACAUGGUGUCUGCUGAAUGAUACAGGUAGUCUUUGCACCGUUCCAAUAUACAUGAAGAUCAGUUUUUACAGUUAAGUAACACCAAUUCCCCUACAACAUGGUUGAAAUUUCAGUUACUACAAUAAUAACCAAAUUGUUGCAUAAGCUUUUCUGAAGCUCUUUAUUCCACAAAUGAUUAUAUAUAUAAAAGAUGGUCAGUAACCACUUAUAAUCACUUCUUUCAGAAGUCUGUUGGUCAGUGAUCAUUGAACACUGAACAUCUAUCAGUUCACAAAGAGGAAAGCAUGUAGUUGUGUUGCCUGUUUCCCAGUGAUAAACUCCCCAACAUUUUGCAAAAAUGGACCAUCUAAAGAGGGAAUUGGUCAACAAAGAUGACAGGGCAGCAAAGAGACAAAAAUUGGUAACACUGGAAGUGACAUUGGAUGUCAUUAGAAGAUUGGAAAAUGGUGACAGCAGAGUGAAGAAGAGAGCUGGGCUGACAUGAGCCUGUAGUACGAACCAUCUUUUAACAGUUCAGUGAAACAAGAACUUUUAGGUAGAGUUGCUUCAACAUGUUUUAGCUUAAAUUGUACUAGGAACAGAAAGCCAUGUAUGGUCGAAAUGGAGUGUUUACUUCUACUUUCAACUGAGGGCUCUAAUAAAUAAUCCCAAGCACUUUGGCUAGCAUUCAAGCCAAAGUGUUGAGGUUAGUUGCUGCACUGAAGGAAAAUGGUAGCUAAAAGGAGACUGAAAAAAACAUUUUACUGUCCAUACAGGCUGGUUCCAUUGCUUCCAGAGUCGGCAUGAAUUGAUUAACCUUCUGCUGUCUGGCGAAGCUGCAAGCUCAGAUAAGGUUGCUACUGUGAAAUUUGCACCAUUAUUCCAAGAGUCACAGGCAGUCCUUUGCCCAGUAUAAGACUACUGUGUUUAAAAAAAAAAAAAAAAGACUACUGUGUGAAAACUUCACAGGGUUUAGCUGUAAUAUAAAGGGAGUUCUUAGAAGAUAGUUGACCGCGGGAAUGUUGACACUCCUACCAUUCAAGCAGCAGUUCUAGAUACCCAACCGGAAGAAUUUAGUGAAGGUGAACAUCGUAAUAAAGGAGAAAAGCAUUUGUGUGUUGUAAAGGAAGAAUACGUUUCAGAGCAAGUGAUGUGGGUGAAAAAACCACAUUAAAGGAGCUCUCAGAUAUUUCAUGACAUUGAAUGCGUAAGGAAUUAAAUUUUAGAAGCCGAUCCAAACUCAAAAGAGUAUGACUGUUUGCCAAGGUGUAGAGAAGAUGCUUGCUCCAUAUUGUAAAUUACAUGAGAAAGCAAGCACUGUUCAAACUCCUCCUGAGACUUUCCUAUAAAUAAAAUGCUAUAAUUUUCAGUGUUUGUUUUCAGUACUUUAUAUUUAUAACCAACAUCAAGAAAGUUUAUGAUGUUUGGAUAAAUCUUAGGUUAUAGAACAAUCAAGAUUAUUAAUCCUAUAGAUUGACUGCCUUGCAGUUUUAGUUUCGCAGUCCACAGGAGAACUCCCUGCAUUUAAAAGAGCUAGGAACUCUGUAUUUAACCAGAUACAGAUUAAGCCUAGAAACAAAUAUACUUUACCUUUAUCAUUAUCAGUUAUAAUCAACAUUUUUCAUACUGCCUUUGUAUGCUACUAUGUUGAGGCUAUUAAAUUAUAAUUCUGUA